rfam:Schistosoma curassoni strain Dakar, Senegal genome assembly, scaffold: SCTD_contig0006322
AUCCAGCUGACCAGUCGCAAAUAGGACAAAACUCCAGUCCUGGGU